UACGAUAUUUACAACUCUUAAUACUUCUUGAAACCCAAGAAAGGACAUAUUUUAUGUAGAUUCAGGUUGUACUAGACACAUGACUUCUACACGGGACAGCAGGCUUACUCUGGAAACCAAUUCCAAUCUCAAGAUAACACGAACUCGAAAUAGUUUCAAUUCCAAUCUAGAAGUUAUUGUUACUCUUGACCAAAUCGAGUCCAUUAUGGUAUUGCAAUUGAAAUUGAGUAUACGAUCGAGUAUCUGUGUGGCCACACAUAGCCACAAUAUGGCCAUAUUUAAGAUAAUACAUGAUCUACCAAAAUACUAUAAAUAGUUUGGAACGUAUAAUUUUAUUUUAAAUAAUUAAAAACAUGCAAUUAUUAUAAUUUUUUACAUAAAUGUUGUAGAACGUCACAUAAAUAAAUAGAAAAUGAUUUUUUUAAGUAAAACUUUAACAAAAUGUUAAAUUCAGGCUGAAUAUAUAUAUUGCUGCUGCUGCUGCAGACAAUGACAAUAUAUAUAUUGUUUAGAUUGUUUAGACAAUGACAAUAUAUAUAUUGUCAUUGUCUAAACUAUAUUAAAAAAAAAUAAUGCGCUUCUGCGAACCGCGCAAACUUAAAAGUUGAAAUUUGAAACUUUGUAAACAUACUUCUUGCACUUCGUUUAUUAAACCUAAAAAGAUGAGUAGGCCUACAUUUUUGCAACAAUAAGCACUGGCAGAUUUCCUGGAGAGAAAUCCAGGGAUUGCCAAAGGCCUCCUUCGUACCGCCCAUGCGAAGCAGGAUACGAAAAGAAAGUGGGAGGAAAUAUCUGUGAACUUUAAUGCUCUGGGCGGUGCACAGAAAGAUGGGAAAGGCUGGGCGAAGUAUUGGGCUGAUAAAAAGUGCGCCUUAAAAAAGAUAUGUGCUCAGAAAGCACAAUCUCUUAGUCGAACAGGCGGUGGGCCUGUCGAAACUUUGCCAUCGUUGACGCCUAUCGACCAGCGGCUGGUGGCUGUGAUGGGAGGCCCACAAUUUGCGAUUGGUGCAAUGGUGAGAGCCAUCUCACCAUUAAUCCUUUCCCGGGAACAUCUAGCGAUUCUCCGUCUCCAGCAGCUACAUUUCAAAACAUAACUCCUUCAUUGGAAAGUGUACCAAUGGAGGAGGCAAUUCUUUUGAAUGUAGAAGGAGCAUUAGAGCCUGGCUCUAAUUUUGUUGUGCUCAGUGCUGAUCCUGUGACAGUGAAUACAACAACCCAUGCCUCACGUGACCAAUAACACCGACCACCAAGGGCAAGCAGGGCUCGUUUGCGGUCAAGACCUCUUAAUUAUCAGCAAGAUAGGCAAAUGUUUGCUGAUAUAGAGGCAGCGUGUAGAAGCCGAGACGCUGACUGCAAGAGCAGUAAGUGAGGCAGCUGGUAACAUAGCCGAUGUUGCUACUGCCAUUAAUAAUUUAGCAGAAGCUAUCACAGGUGCGGCCCAAAUUAUAGCACAAGCAAUCAAUAGUGCAAAUCCACGAUAGAUGUUUUGGUGUGUAUUU
rnacentral:lncRNA from 1 species